rnacentral:lncRNA from 1 species
AUGACGACGCGUGAGGGCGGGAAGAAGGCAGAUGGAGGGCAGGAAGUAAACAUGGAGAAUACGUCUAUAGAGGAAACCGUUGCAGAAAGUCAGUAUUGUACGGAUUUAGAUCCAGUUUCAAGACAUAGAUACAAGGAGUUAAUUAACAGAUAUGUUGGACGUGACCCGUACCUCAUGAAGAUGAGUGAGUUUUCAGUAGAACUGAAAGAUUUACCGACAGUUGAGGCUGUUGACAUCACCAACUAUCUGGUCCUUCAGACAUCGUACCACACCAGACAGCAAAUGAAGGCCUAUAAAAGUCUGGAGGCAUACAACUUUUUUGUCAACGGAUGGGUCCACAACCUCGGUGUCAAACGGCUCCACGAUGAUCAUUGUUUGGUCUUCGCCAGAACUAUCAGAAUCGUGUUCUCAUGUAGGGGCAGUUCUUUUUUCCAUUGAAGUUGGGUUAAAGAUGCGAGAUUCAGCUUCCUGCACAACAGAGCAGUGCAAGUGGCUGAUGCCAUCACAUGUAAAAAAGGUAAAGUGACACGUUCACAGCAAACCUAAUGUGGGACAGAGAAUGUUAUUUUGGGACACUGUUUAACAGUAGGCUAAAUUAUGAUGUUAAUAAAUUAAAAGGAUAGUUCACCCAAAAAUGAAAAUUCUGUCAUCACUCACUCUCAUGUUGUUGCAACACCUAAUAAAUUUCUUUUUUCUGAUGAACACAAAGGCAGACAUUUUAAGAAAUGUUCGUAACCAAACCGUUUGUGGACCCCAUUUACUUACAUAGUAUUCCUUUAUCCUGCUAUGGAAGUAAAUGGGGUCCACGAACGGUUUAAUUACAAACAUUUCUCUAAACAUCUUCCUUAGUGUUCAUCAGAACAAAGAAAUUUAUGUGGGUUUAUAAAGCUUGACCAUUCCAUUGAUGGCAGGACAACUGACAACAAGGUUGGGAAAUCACUUCAAUGCCCAAGAGUGAAGAGAGGGUCAGAAACAUAUGCUAGGUUUUUUUGAGACAUUAAGCAAAAACUGUCCUAGGAGUGCAGCACUGAUGGCUAAGGAGCCUUACCACAAAGAAUUCAUCCCCAAAUCUUGCAUGCUUCCUAAAACUGUUCUUGAAUACAGAACACCAGAGACUCUGCAGCUACCCCCCAAAGAGCUUGGAGAGCUAUGCCAGGAUUUCCAGCUAGAAGAGCUCACCCUGUCUCAGGUUCAGGCUGUAGAGAGGGCAACUCGAAGUCAGAGUGCAAGCAGAGUGCAACCAUCCAAGAGCUUGAUCAAGGGCAUAUGCUACCCAGAAC